rnacentral:rRNA from 1 species
UACGUAGGGAGCAAGCGUUGUCCGGAAUCAUUGGGCGUAAAGAGCGUGUAGGCGGUCCGGUAAGUCCGUUGUGAAAGUCGAGGGCUCAACCCUCGAAUGCCGGCGGAUACUGUCGGACUAGAGUCCGGAAGAGGCGAGUGGAAUUCCUGGUGUAGCGGUGAAAUGCGCAGAUAUCAGGAGGAACACAGAUGGCGAAGGCAGCUCGCUGGGACGGUACUGACGCUGAGACGCGAAAGCGUGGGGAGCAAACAGG